GUUUGGAAAUGAUCGGUGUCCCUAUAUGUGCAGUGCUCAAUGGUCUUCGAUUAUUCCACUAAUAAUUUCACAGUGAUGGUGAUUUGCUCAUCUCAUUAUGCAGCUUUCAAAACUCAACACCAUCAGCUGAAGCUGUUCGUUCCAGGAUUCCAAAUCAUCAGAGUGUUCAGGAGCAGAUUCUAAAUUGGGGCAAAGAAGCGGGGGCUGCAAACGAAAAGGCGGGAAAGCACACAGCCUCUGACGCGGUGGAAUGUCACAUCCAACGACAGGCUUUUCAGAAGAGGAGCACCGGGACUGAUACAUCUGUGCUGAAGCCAUUUACCAGCCCUUUCUUUGGGGAAAUGGAGAACAAGAAAUCGGCCAUAACCACGGAGAGAUCUCUUAAUCAAUGGCAAGUGAGGCAAACUAUGGACUGUAGAAGAAUGACAUCACCAAGGAGCUAAGCUGGGGUUGUGGGCCCAGGUGAUGCUGCUGGUCUGGGGACCAACUUUGGGAACAACUCUGUGGGGCAUCUUGGGGAGAAAAAGCAAGCGGAACCACCAGUUUCAGAAUACAGAGAGGGCCGUGCGGCCAUCAGCAGCUUGCAGACAACUACUGGCUCAUAAACGUGACUCCACCAUCAUGAUUCCUGACACAGGGCGGCUUCUCAGCGCCUCCAGAUAAACAAGGAGGGUCUCCUCGGAACUGGCAGUUUAAGCCUUCUGGAACUUUCCACUGACUCACAAUCAC